CCUACGGGAGGCAGCAGUGAGGAAUAUUGGUCAAUGGGCGGGAGCCUGAACCAGCCAAGUCGCGUGAAGGAAGAAGGUACUUAGUAUUGUAAACUUCUUUUGUCGGGGAACAAAUGCCGAUACGUGUCUCCGGAUGAGUGUACCCCAAGAAAAAGCAUCGGCUAACUCCGUGCCAGCAGCCGCGGUAAUCCGGAGGAUGCGAGCGUUAUCCGGAUUUAUGGGGGUUAAAGGGUGGGCAGUCGGGAGAUCAGGUCAGCGGUAAAGUGUCGGGGCUCAACCCCGGCCGGCCGUUGAAACUGGGUGGCUAGAGUGGGGGAGAGGUAUGCGGAAUUCGUGGUGUAGCGGUGAAAUGCGUAGAUAUCACGAAGAACACCGAUUGCGAAGGCAGCAUACCGGAUCGAAACUGACGCUGAGGCACGAAAGCGUGGGGAUCGAACAGGAUUAGAUACCCGUGUAGUC
rnacentral:rRNA from 1 species